GGCUGUGUAGCGCAAUGGUAGCGCGUUACUUUCCGGUUUUAACUUGUCCAAUAAGUUAAAUCACCAGCUGGUAAAGGCUCUGGGUUCGAGUCCCAGCAUGGUCG